CAGUCGGCCGGCGCAUAAGCGGCGUCGGGCGCCGCAGUCGCGCGCUUGCACUCUCAGCGGUGAGCGGAGUUUGUAACGUGCGUAAUAGCUCUAAAACGUCUUCUGGUCUGUUUUGUUUGGCCGUUCGCGGCACGGCAGCGGGAACGUCAGCCCCGGUGUAUAUAUCUUCUUCGUUCAUCGAUUCCCCGUGCCCGUGUGUCUCGUUGUGUCUGGAGCAACCGUCGAAAGGGAGAAUAACAUAUAAUCGACUAGGAGUGGAGAGACAGAAACGGAGAGAAAGAGAGAGAGAAAGAGAGAGAGAACAAGCAGCCGUAGUAGGAACAUCGUGUGCACACGCGAGACUAACGUCGCUCCCCUUUCACCGAUACACGAUCAACGAGCACACGAGUGACUGUCGUCGAUGAAGAAGUAAAACGGAUAGAAAAGUGCACGACGUUGGGAGAAACGACGGGGAAUCGACGACGGUGGUGGUGUGUUCAAAGGGAAUAUAUCCAAUAGGGCAGACCGAAAACGACGCGGACGGUUGGUCGUGGUUUCGCGAGGCGAGGCGAGGCCGGCCGUUGUAAACCGGUGCUCUUCUAGGAUUCGUCGUGAGUCGUUCGAUUCGUGGUGUAUAUAUCGUAUAUAACAGACUUGGUUGGCCGGUUCACGGGAGAUCUGAUCGGAAACCAGUGACGUGUGGUACACGUGUUAUAUUAUAAUAACGCAGUGCAAGUGUUUCUCUAUUUGGCCCUGCCGCCUGUGUUCCGACAGGAGACCGUGCCGCUCGCUGACCACUGCCGGUUCAUCGUGUACACGUCGUUAUAUGGUGGUGGUGGUGGUGGUUGAGCAGCCGGUGGAGGAGGGCGGGUGCAGGGCCCAGGGCGAUGUGGCUAGCAAGUGGGAAAACUCGAGGAGGUGAUAACGACUUCUGACCUUCCGUGAGAGUGCGUACCGCGGCGUAGAGGGCGCCGCCGUCGAUUGUCAAGCGAAAAGGCUCACCAUUCGGAAGAAAACGAGGAGGAAAAAGCGAAAAAAGAAG